rnacentral:lncRNA from 1 species
GAUGACAGACGCCAGGAACUUCCAAUGGGUACACUGAAGCAGCUGCAUACUAGGAUGCUUUUUAUACUUACAAGGUGUACACGAUUGCUUCAAUUCCACAAGGAAAGUGCAUUUGCUGAGGAUGAACCUGUAUUUCAACUUCGUCAAUCGUUCUUACAAGGUGUACACGAUUGCUUCAAUUUCACAAGGAAAGUGCAUUUGCUGAGGAUGAACCUGUAUUUCAACUUCGUCAAUCAUUGCAGCCUGUGGCAAAACGCAUUCCUCCAGGCAUGGGAAGAAAUAGUAAGAUGUCUGGUCCUAUGCAAUUCCAAAAGGUGCCGUCCCCUAGAAAAUUUUAUAGUCAGGAACAACAU